GUCUGGAAUUAUUGGGCGUAAAGAGCUCGUAGGCGGUCUGUUGCGUCUGCUGUGAAAACUCGGGGCUUAACCCCGAGCCUGCAGUGGAUACGGGCAGACUAGAGGUAGGUAGGGGAGAAUGGAAUUCCUGGUGUAGCGGUGAAAUGCGCAGAUAUCAGGAGGAACACCGGUGGCGAAGGCGGGUCUCUGGGCCGAUAUUGACGCUGAGGAGCGAAAGCGUGGGGAGCGAACAGG
rnacentral:rRNA from 1 species